rnacentral:snRNA from 1 species
AGCUUUGCGUAGUGGCAGUAUCAUAGCCAAUGAGGUUUAUCCGAGGCGCAAUUAUUGCUAAUAGAAUAAACGCACACAUAUUAUUUUGUACCACUUUUUUUUUUAAUGUCAGAGGGUGUGUGCAUUUUCUUGAGAGAGA